UUUGUUUGGGCUCUGACAAGUUUCUCUGGUUUAGCAAAUGUUCUCCAGAAGAGAAGCUGCUGGAUGCCCUAGAAGUCUUAUACAUGUUAUGGCUUGUGGUAAUAAGAGAGCUGUUCAUAACAUGAAUCUACUGUAUUUGUUUCUGUUGUGGGAACAACAUUCCUUUUUCAACCUUCAGGAAUAAUAACUGGAUAAAGUCUGAAGCCCUGAUGCAUUUCAAAUAAACACUGCAAGCCCAGUGAUAAGAUAGCACCACUUGCUAUUGGUUCUGUAGCUUUGCCACAAUUGUGCUUAUUGUGCUUGUCUCUGGGCAAAUAUCUCAGGGCACCAAUAAAGCAGCCGGCAUUGGUGAUACCCAAACAAGUUUUACAGCUGUAAAUACAAAUUCCAUAUGCUACAAAGGGGGCAAGGAGAAGGGCCAGCAAGCUAUCCAUCUUCUUAUUACAUCAUUUAAGGUCCAUUUAAUUCUAGUGUCAAACCUGCAAUCACUAUCCUAUUCUGUGCUGGUUAUGAUUUGAACAAUAUCUGAAAGGAGUCCAAAUUGUGCUUAUUGUUUUACAAUAAUGCCCAGGCACUAGACAUAAUAUAUAUGUAGAUUUUAGUUAGUGCUAGUGUUUUCUUUUUUCAUCACUUGUUCUGCCUUUCUUCUUAUUUCAGAAUAUCCACCAAACAAGGGGGGGGGGAUUAUUUAUUUAUUACUGAAUAAGCCACUGUUGGCAAGAUUCACACAGCUCUCAAAAAUCAAAAGAGCAGAAUUAUGGUUUGGUGCUAAGGACCAAUUUCUUUGUAAGUGUGGGUAAAAAUAUGUGUGGUUUGUCCCUGGAAAAGUAGACGUUUUCCAUCUUUUCAUCAGUGCUACCUACUUUUUAUCUCAGGGUCAGAAAAAAUGAGACCAUCAACGUUCCUUGACCUGACGUGCUUGUAGGUCAGACAUUUUCAGGUCAAUUUAAGAGUACUUGUAGUGAUUCUUAACCCUGUUUGAAAAUAAGCUUAGCUUUAGGCCUGUUGCUCCAUGUUGUGAUCAGAAUUACAGAUACAUAAUAUCAGAAAAAUGGGUGGAUUGACCACUGAAGGGGAAGAAAGAUAAAAUGAAGGAAACAAUAUUGUUCACAUAGUUUUGUUGCUCAGUUGGUGGAACAGGGUGAGAAGCCCUGAGAAGCACUACCAGCAAUGUAGUUUGAUCCCUGAUAGUUUACUGUAAGUUCACUGCUAGUUUGCAAGCUUGCACUGCUCUGAAUGAUGGACUAGGAGCCUUCUGUUGGGAGUAUUGUAAGAGUACCAAGCCAUAGCAAGACAACAUAAUUCCACUUCUGCAGCAAGAUGGAGACAUAUUGAAACAUGCAAAUAUCACAGAACAGAUUGGCAGGUAUAUAACAGACAGGCAUGGCAUUACUCAUUCCAUAUGAAUUCACUGAAAUUCCAUUCUCCAGAAGUAUUUUAAUAUGUUGCUGUCAUAAACUACAAAUGUACUUGAAGUUUUCUUAAAACUGAAACCCAGAGUCACAGCACUGAAGUAGAAAUGCCAUUUCAAAAAAAUGAUAUAGAUACCAAAGCUAUAAAACAAAACUGAAUAAGAGCUCACCUUUAUAAAUAUCCCUAAAUUAUUAUUUGAAAUAUUAAUCAGUAUUUGUGAUUUAUUAGUAGUUAUUGCUUUUUUAAAAAUACAUUUAUUAUUUUGUUAGGCUAUAAACAAAUCUCUGUUUAUUGUCUGCCUGCCUGCCUAAAUAUUUAUUUCCUAUAGAAGGUACUGCCUGUAGAAAAUGUUGUUCAAUUCCUAUCUCUGCUGGACCUUAACAGGCCAGGUUUCUGCUACAUGGAUGUAUUUUUUUUUCUAAUUUUAGGUACUGUACUAUUAAAUGUUAUGUAACUUCAUAUAUUAUCACAUUCUGUAUAAAAUUUAAAUGUACCUUCACAUUUUUGUAAUUUUAGACACAACCUGUUUUAUAGCCUAGAUAUAGAGUGUUCUUUUUGGAUUUUACACAGUGGUUCUACAGUAGCCAGUUUGCAUUAUAGAUGUAUUUUAAUUUUAUCUCAAGUUUAAUUUACUGGUUUCUUGAGAUAGAUUUAUAACUGUUCAGAAAUCACUCAUGGACAUAUUUGUUCCGGUCUUUCAGUGCAAUAAACUGACUAACUGAAUUCUUAUCUCACUUUGGCUCUUUAUAGAAACCCUAGAAAGGCACUGAGCACUUAUUUUAUAGAGGAAGUCCUAAUGUUAAGAAGUUGGAAUUUCUAGAAGUCCUUUAAGACGGAGCAAGGGUUUGAACACAAGUUUAUACAGGUUUCCUCCCCUCUUUCAACUGGGCUGAGCUGGCUGUCUGAUCAUAUUUUAAUCCAAUGCUGGAUCUGAAAUUUAAACAAUCCUCAUGACUUGGCAGUUCAUGCUGAUAUCAGGGUGGAGACGUGCUAUGGGGCUCAGUUGAUAAACAUUGUUUCAGAAACUUACAGUGUUUCAUCACUGAUUGGAAUCCUAUUGAGUAUGACUGUAUAAUUUCUUUUCAACAUAAAAAAGGUAUUUUAAAACUAUCUGAGGACCAUUAUUUAAAAUUAUCUUGUGAAGUGGAAUGAAAGGCUGGAUUACGCUUUUGCAUCCAUCAGGUGCAAAAGGGGUGUAAGUGAUAUUAAAGUAACAUGAGAAAUGCUUUCAAAUGAAUUUUUAUAUUGCCACAAUUACAGUUGGAACGAGGACCAAUCAAGGAUGUGGAUCUCUUUUAUUUGAUAUCUUCCAGUUGUGCUAAAAUAAGCUGCCGUUUUUGUAACCCACCAUAUAAUUCUGGCAUUACAACUUUAGUAAAACAACAUACAAAGAAGUCAUAGAAAAUCAGCUCUGCUAUAUUAUGGUACUAGAAAAUGAAUCAGCCCCGAAUUUGUUUCAUUUUGCUUAAUACACAGACCAUCUCGAACCCUUUCUUAUAUUUUUCCACAGUAAUGUUAAUAUAUUCCAACCUCUUGUUUCAUAACAGAUCCUUUUAACCAAAAAUAGAAAUCAAGCGGGACUUCUAAAUAGGCCAUUCUUUUCUCUAGACAGUCAAAGAAUUGAAUCAAGUUAAUGCAGUAAAACGUUUUGGAAAACUUGAACAUUCUGAUAUGCUUAAUGUUUGUUUACUUGGCAGCAUACUUACAUAAAAAUAUAGGGUGAUAUUUACAAAAUUCAGAUACUCAGAACGCUUAGACAUUUCAGAUCAGAAGUUUCGAAAUUUAGCUCUGUUUUUGAAUACAGAGAUACAGAGUAAAUUUGAUUGUUUAUGGUUUGAUAAAAGUCAGGCAAUGUUUUACUUCUCCUUUUUGUACCUGGCCAGAAAUAUCCAUAUCCAUAUCCAUAUGAUUUGUUAACAGCAUCCCUGUGUAUACAUGGUGUCACUUCAAUAAAGUGCUUAAUGAGCAGCCUGUCAAGGCUAAGAUCAUAAUUUGUAAAAAUAUCCUGUUCUUUUAUAUGACAUUUGUAUCUAAUUCCAAGGUACAAAAGGCAUAAUAGUACUAUGCCCUCACUGUAAGCUUGUAAUUUGUGGGCGAGAAAAGAAAACUCUGUUUAUGCUUCUAGGGCUAGGCAGUUAAAUUUUCGUAUGGAUGAGAGAUCCUGCUGUUAAACCUUACAUCAAAUUAUCCUAAUUAAAGUCAAGGAACAAUUAUGGCCAAUUGCUCUAUUUGAUGAUAUAGUAAUUAAUUCCCAGGAUUUCAUAUCAGAAAAUAUUUAAGAAAGCUUAAUGGGGGAGGGGAGAGGGGAUGGGGGGGGGAAAGAGAUAUAUAUAUUGAUAUCUCUUGCAGUAUUUGCUACUGAGAUGCAUAUACCACCGUCGUCACCCAGGCAAAGGAUAACUGCGAAGUUCAGAAAAAAGGGUUUCAUAAAACUCAGCUUCUCCUCUUGUUACGAACUGGAUACUAGAAGAUCAUUUGAUAAAAACUCCGACCAGAGUGGUAGAAAUCCCAACUGAUCCAUAUUCGGCAAAGCUUUAGAGCUGUAUUAAAAACUAAAAAUAAAAUCUCGAGGUUUCCCUCCCCGAAGCAGAGCGUUCCCAUGCUCAGGAAAUUUGCUGUCCUGGAUGUUUAGCAUUAAGGCAGGGAUGGGUUAUUAUGGCACGCCGACGGCACUGAGAAAAUGCUGCCCUUUCCCCCCGUUUUCUAUACCGAACUUCCUCCAAGGCAGAGUUUCAGCUGCAGCGCUCCCUUUUCCAGUUUCUGGAAGUGAUCACAUCAACAAGACCAUCAUGGAAUUCAUGUGGAUUGUACUGGAUGGUAUCCCAAGGCUACUUGGGGAAGAUCAGAUGAACAGAAGAUACGACAAGAUAUACCUAACAGUCUCCCUCAUUUAUACGUCAGAAACCUAUCCACCAUUAUUCAUUUUCCUAAAAGAAACUAUCAUAACUUCUGAGAAGAUACCAACAUUAUCUGAAGCACAUUUGAAAAUCAUUGGUAUGAUUGGUUAAAAUUUAUUUGGUUUUUGAGAUAAAAGAAAAAGGAUACAACAGAUGAUGAUCUUCCUGUACACAAGACAAAAAUAAAAUUAUUUCCAAAAGAUAACCUUUAAGGUGAAAAAAUUACAAAAACUAAUGUGCAGAAAUUCUUUUAGUUAUUUUGAGAAGGAAAUAUUGUCCCACAAUAAUCAGCUAUAUAAUUCAGAACAUAGCACUUGUUUCAAUGUUACAGGACCCCAUCACCCUUUGAUACCGUAAUACCUUAAUUCAAAAUUAUUUAACAGAAUUUUCUGCAGGUUUUUGGUUUAGGGGUCUAAACCUAAAUAUAUUAUUAAAUAAACUAAUGAAACCAUUAGGCAGCUUUAUUUCUGGAAUGAAUCAUUCAGAUUUAAGUAGUUAAAAUGUCGUCCAAAAUUCUGAUUA